CCUGCAUGUGCGAGAGCGAGCGAGACCCGGGACAACGUCAUCCGCCUCGCCUGGACUAGUCCCCCGGCCGGAGGAGGGACAGUGGCUGCACUGUGCAGCCGAAGACUCACUUUGAUCGCACAGGAGACGAGCGACGCAACCGGUCCACCGUCCAUGCAAACUGCGCCAGGCAGCGUAUUGCACGCUGGAGGACACCGAGGAAAGUCACAGUAGGAGCGGCGCUUAGUGAGAGGUGAUGUCGGGGGGACAUGGCUUCUUCUCCGGUCACCCCAGCAUCGCUUGAAGGAGAAACACCUUCACCCACCGGGAACGAGGAGCCCGCGACCACCCGACAGAUCCUUCACAGCAUGUUGUUUCUGGGCAAAAUCAACAACAUCCCCUUUUCUCCAGAAGAAAUCUUCCCUAAUCCUUUUGUUUUGGGUUCUUUAAUGAGAAGAUAUCCCAGGCCUUUUAAGUUGUAUUCGACUCAGCUUCCCAGGCGAAGUCCCUUCUCCUGUGUGCUCGACAUGAUCGUCCUGCAAAAUAACUCAGAGAAUGAAGAGCAAAUAAAGCAGAGUCUGCAAGAUCUCCUCACAGACUUGGACUUAGAAGAGAAUAAUAAAAAAACAGCUUUCGUCUCGUCCACCAUCUGCAUUUCUCAAAAAUCCCAAACCAACAAAUCAGAAAGGUACUGCGGAGUCUCCAUGUCCACCAAAGGUCCUAACGCUGGGAAAAUUAUGAUUGCUGCCUCCUGUCUUAGCAAAUGGCAUAAAUAUGUAUCUGGUGCGGUGAUGACCUAUUAUCCAAACACAGUCCAGAAAGAUUACUUUGAUGGAACAAUUGAAGUACCUGGAAAUAUCAGGUGUGAGGCUUUUUGUCUCCGUGAUGGUGCCAGAAUGAAGCCUUGCAGAUCAUGUAAGAAUUUGUUUGGCUUGAACACAGAAGACCUCAGAGAGUGGCCAUAUGGUAACUGUGCUGAAGCUGAGAGCCUGAGCAAUUUGCUUGAAAAUGAGAGAGAAGUUGAAACACAUGUGGAUGAAUACUCAGCUGAAAAGGACAACAGGCAGAGAGCUGAGGAUGAGGUUGAUGGGUUCUUAGAACUGUGUUGCAAAGGAUUCGGUUUAACUGGACAGGUGAAUUUUACAACCCAGAACAAGAGUGAGAUUUCAUGAAAUCAUUUGCAUUCAUCAUUCUGAUAAAUCAAAGAUUCUCUGCUCUGACAGCAUCUGUGUGGAUUUUCUGUAAUCACAGAGACGUGUAUAAGCAUGUUUACUUUCCAUCUCCAUGUAAUUGUCACAUUUAAUAAUUAAAACUGGCUUCUAUGGGUUUUUGUUUGUUUGCUUACAUAUCUAGUGUUUAAUGCAAUAUGAAGCAUUAUCAGACAGCAUUUAUUGGGAAGAAUCCCAUGUUUAUACUGGUCUGUACCCAGGGUACACAGAAAAUAAAAACAUGUUUUCUUAUUAUGAUCCCAACUAUAAUUUACUUAAGC
ensembl:lncRNA